rnacentral:rRNA from 1 species
AGAGUUUGAUCCUGGCUCAGAGUGAACGCUGGCGGCGUGCUUUACACAUGCAAGUCGAACGGGACUUUAUCGGGGGUAACCCUGGUAAAGUUUAGUGGCAGACGGGUGAGUAACACGUGGGAAAUCUACUUAGAAGAGGGGAAUAACCCCGGGAAACCGGAGCUAAUACCCCAUAAGACCACAGGAAGACAUCUUCAAGCGGUCAAAGGUUCGCAAGAAUGCUUUUAAAUGGUCCCGCGUCCUAUCAGCUAGUUGGUGAGGUAACGGCUCACCAAGGCAAUGACGGGUAACCGGCCUAAAAGGGUGAACGGUCACAAUGGAACUGAGACACGGUCCAUACUCCUACGGGAGGCAGCAGUGGGGAAUUUUGGACAAUGGGCGAAAGCCUGAUCCAGCAACGCCGCGUGAAGGAUGAAGGUCUUCGGAUUGUAAACUUCUUUUAGAGGGAAAGAACCCCGUUCUUUAUAUUCAUUUCAAAACACCUAUAUAUAUAGGUGUAAAAGUGGAUAAAAAGAACGGGGGUGACGGUACUCUCAGAAAAAGCCACGGCUAACUACGUGCCAGCAGCCGCGGUAAUACGUAGGUGGCAAGCGUUACUCGGAAUUACUAGGCGUAAAGCGUAUGUAGGCGGUUAGACAAGUCUGUGGUGAAAUCUCCUGGCUCAACUGGGAGCGGUCCACGGAAACUGUUUGGCUUGAGUGUGGGAGGGGAAGAUGGAAUUCCUGGUGUAGCGGUGAAAUGCGUAGAUAUCAGGAGGAACACCGAUGGCGAAAGCGAUUUUCUGGCCCAAUACUGACGCUGAGAUACGAAAGCUAGGGGAGCAAACAGGAUUAGAUACCCUGGUAGUCCUAGCUGUAAACGAUGUUCACUAGAUGUGGGAGGUAUCGACCCCUUCCGCGCCGACGCUAACGCAUUAAGUGAACCGCCUGGGGAGUACGGCCGCAAGGUUGGAACUCAAAGGAAUUGACGGGGGCCCGCACAAGCGGUGGAGCAUGUGGUUUAAUUCGACGCAACGCGAAGAACCUUACCUGGGCUUGAAGUGCAGGUUGUAAAGAUCCGAAAGGUGAAUGACUCGCAAGAGAGCCUGUAGAGGUGCUGCAUGGCUGUCGUCAGCUCGUGUCGUGAGAUGUUGGGUUAAGUCCCGCAACGAGCGCAACCCUUGUCCUAUGUUGCUCAUAGCAAUAUGAGGUCUCUUAGGAUACUGCCGGUGAUAAACCGGAGGAAGGUGGGGAUGACAUCAAGUCAUCAUGGCCUUUAUGUCCAGGGCCACACACGUGCUACAAUGGCCGGUACAGAGGGAAGCCAAGCCGCAAGGUGGAGCAAAUCCCAUAAAAUCGGCCCCAGUUCAGAUUGUGGGCUGCAAUUCGCCCACAUGAAGGUGGAAUCGCUAGUAAUCGCAGAUCAGCAGGCUGCGGUGAAUACGUUCCCGGGCCUUGUACACACCGCCCGUCACACCACGAAAGUCAGUUGUAACAGAAGUCACUGUGUUAACCCGCAAGGGAUGCAGGUGCCCAAGUUGUGAUUGGUAAUUGGGGUGAAGUCGUAACAAGGUA